AGAUUUUGAUCCUGGCUCAGGAUGAACGUUGGCGGCGUGCUUAACACAUGCAAGUCGAACGCAAGUAGCAAUAUUUGAGUGGCGCACGGGUGAGUAACACGUGGCUGAUCUACCCUCAAGCGGGGGAUAACCUGCGGAAACGGAGGCUAAUACCCCAUAAGCUCACGGCCAAUAGCGGGCGGUGAGAAAAGACUGGAUCACUUGAGGAUGAGGCUGCGGCCCAUCAGCUAGUUGGGGCGGUAACGGCGCACCAAGGCGACGACGGGUAGGGGACCUGAGAGGGUGACCCCCCACACUGGGACUGAGACACGGCCCAGACUCCUACGGGAGGCAGCAGUGAGGAAUAUUGCACAAUGGGGGCAACCCUGAUGCAGCGACGCCGCGUGAGUGAUGAAGGCCUUCGGGUCGUAAAGCUCUUUUCUGCGUGACGAGCAAGGACGGUAGCGCAGGAAUAAGUCUCGGCUAACUACGUGCCAGCAGCCGCGGUAAAACGUAGGAGACGAACGUUAUCCGGAGUUACUUGGGCGUAAAGGGCGUGUAGGCGGCCUGUUAAGUUCGGCGUGAAAGCCUUCGGCUAAACCGGGGGAGGUCGUCGGAAACUGGCAGGCUUGAGGGUGAUAGAGGCGGGUGGAAUUCCGGGUGUAGUGGUGAAAUGCGUAAGAUCCGGAGGAACACCAGUGGCGAAGGCGACCCGCUGGGUCACACCUGACGCUUAGACGCGACAGCAUGGGGAGCGAACGGGAUUAAAAACCCCGGUAGUCCAUGCCGUAAACAUGCCAGCUAAAUUUUCGGGUGGGGAAACCCAUCAGGGUUAUCGAACCAACCCGGUAAGCUGGCCCGCUUGGGGGAGUACGGUCGCAAGGCUAAAACUCAAAGGGAAUUGACGGGGGGCCCGCACAAGCAACGGAGCGUGUGGUUUAAUUCGAGGCUACACGAAGAACCUUACCUGGGUUUGACAUGGGCGUAGUAGGGAACCGAAAGGGGACCGACCUUCGGGAGCGCUCACAGGUGCUGCAUGGCUGUCGUCAGCUCGUGCCGUGAGGUGUUCGGUUAAGUCCGCAAAACGAGCGCAACCCCCGGUGCUAGUUACAGGUGUCUAGCACAACUGCCCGUGAGAAACGGGAGGAAGGUGGGGAUGACGUCAAGUCAGCAUGGCCUUUAUAUCCAGGGCUACACACACGCUACAAUGGGCGGUACAAUGGGUCGCGAACCCGCGAGGCGGAGCCAAUCCUGAAAGCCGUUCGUAGUUCGGAUUGCAGGCUGCAACUCGCCUGCAUGAAGUCGGAGUUGCUAGUAACCGCAGGUCAGCUAUACUGCGGUGAAUACGUUCCCGGGCCUUGUACACACCGCCCGUCACGUCAUGGGAGCGGGUCACGCCUGAAGUCGGGAAGCUAACCGCAAGGAGGCUACCGCCGAGGGCAGGGCUGGUGACUGGGACGAAGUCGUAACAAGGUAGCUGUACCGGAAGGUGCGGCUGGAUCACCUCC
rnacentral:rRNA from 1 species